ensembl:lncRNA
CUCCCAGUAGCUGCGCAGCUUUUAAAUAGUUUACAAUAAUCUCUCCCCUGUUUUCUGAUGAGAACUCAAUUAGAAUAGCUAGGAGCAGAGGCUGCCAUUAUGGACAAAGUGGAAUGUCACGACAGAGAUAAUUGAGGGAAAUGCUUCUACGUUGCUGCCAAAACCACAGUCCUGACUCAGACUGCAAAGAGCAAAGGAGGAGUUGGACGAUCACACACGCUUUUCUCUCCCACCCCUCAGCACACAAGGAAAAAAUAUUCUGUGCACAUUUGUGUGGUGCCUUAUAAAUUCCUUAUCAGAUUCGGGUUUGCAGGUCUCGAUCUUCAAGCCCGAGGUCCGGCGCGCAAUCGAAUGUGCCGCAAAAGCAUGCUCGCACUGCAGAGUCGAUUUCCGCGCUUAUAAACCCAGGGUCGUUCUCCCUUCUUUCAAAGAGCGCAUCCUCGAGACUACGUUUUACAGGAACGCGCUCACCGACCAAGCACACGUGUCGUGGGAUGAAAGGUCCGAUCACUUCUGACACCAAUGUAAUGAAAACAGCAAGGAUCAGGUCUCGAACCCUUGCCCUUCGAGCCCGAAGUCCAGCGCUAUCGACUGUGCCGCAAAGGCAUGCUCGCAGGGGAGAGUUGAUUUCCGAGCUUAUAAACCCAGGGUCGUUACACUAUGAUCAAAAUGAAAUGUACAUUCAAUCACACCAUCUAAAUUGAUUUGGAGUUAUUUCUAACUCUAUUUUACAAUGAUGGUGAGUUCACGUGAAACUGUAUUAACAACUUAUUAUUUGUCAAACUCUCAAAAUACUGAAACAACAUGGAAGCAUACUUACAAAACCUGCAAACAAAAAACCUGAUUUAUCUAUAAAAGCACAACCCAUUUGUUUACAUAUUAUGUAAAAGAAAUCACUAUAAAGAUAUUAAUGCAGAUCUCACAGGAUGGCUUACAUUGAAAUUGCAUAAACAAUUACCAACUUGUAUUAUUUUGGUUUCAAAUAAGAGCAUUUUCUCUCUUCUAUGCUAUGUAGUUUCCUCUGUCUUCUCUCUGGAGGACAGUUAACUGUCUGAGUUAGAUUGACCAUUUGUAAAUGUUAAUGUACAGAGGUUUGGAUCGAUUCAGAAAUAGAACAUCCCAGGCUCCACGCAUAUCGACUGAAAGAAAAGUAUGCAACCUCAAGCAGCACUUGGUUGUGCUCCUGAAUAAUUUAUUCACUUAUCUACAGUAGGAGUUUCAAUCUUAAUGAUUUACGUUGCACUCAAAUUAUACCAUAUCACAGUAUCUACAUUAUUGAGUCGUUAUAAAGCUGUAUUACACAAAAUCCUUCUUUGCUAGAAACCGGAAAUUCUCAAAUAACUUUUCCUUGCCCUGUAAAUAUAAUUUCCUUGCGCUAUGUACAGGCAUAUCUAGAUGCUGCGGACAUUUCAAAUACUAAUUCUGUACCAUCACACAGAAUUUAUAGGCAGAGAGAAGAAAUGUCUCCCUGUCAGUGGGGAAGGAUGGUUGGGAUGUAAUCAAUGGCUUGCAUUGUCAGGGUUUAUCGGCAAAGGGCAUCUACUGGCUCUGCUGUUUAGAUGGCCAGGGUCACGUAAAGUUGUGGAGACCUCCUAGGGGCUAUAGAUCUAUUGAGCGGGGCACUGAAACCUCAUUAGUUGAAAGAGAAAAGGUAACUGUUGGGCGAAAUACAGCAUGUACAAUCAAAGCAGAAAGAUUUGUGACCCGUUGCCAUGAAAACAGGGCAACCAGUGGAUCACAAACAUUGUAAAUACCACCAAUAUUUAUCUGUUUACUCAUCUUCCCCUACUAUUCAUACUACAACUAUUUGCACAUUGUAAAACACACUACAUAGCUGAUAAUAUAACAUUUAAUACAUCUUUAUCUUUUUGAAACGUUUGAGUGCAAUGUUUACUGUAC